rnacentral:rRNA from 1 species
GGGUUGUGAGGUUAAGCGACUAAGCGUACACGGUGGAUGCCCUGGCAGUCAGAGGCGAUGAAGGACGUGCUAAUCUGCGAUAAGCGUCGGUAAGGUGAUAUGAACCGUUAUAACCGGCGAUUUCCGAAUGGGGAAACCCAGUGUGAUUCGUCACACUAUCGUUAAGUGAAUACAUAGCUUAACGAAGCGAACCGGGGGAACUGAAACAUCUAAGUACCCCGAGGAAAAGAAAUCAACCGAGAUUCCCCCAGUAGCGGCGAGCGAACGGGGAGGAGCCCAGAGUCUGAAUCAGCGCGUGUGUUAGUGGAACGGUCUGGAAAGUCCGGCGGUACAGGGUGAUAGCCCCGUACACUAAAAUGCACACGUUGUGAACUCGAAGAGUAGGGCGGGACACGUGGUAUCCUGUCUGAAUAUGGGGGGACCAUCCUCCAAGGCUAAAUACUCCUGACUGACCGAUAGUGAACCAGUACCGUGAGGGAAAGGCGAAAAGAACCCCGGCGAGGGGAGUGAAAAAGAACCUGAAACCGUGUACGUACAAGCAGUGGGAGCCUCUUUAUGGGGUGACUGCGUACCUUUUGUAUAAUGGGUCAGCGACUUAUAUUCUGUAGCAAGGUUAACCGUAUAGGGGAGCCGCAGGGAAACCGAGUCUUAACUGGGCGUUAAGUUGCGGGUAUAGACCCGAAACCCGGUGAUCUAGCCAUGGGCAGGUUGAAGGUUGGGUAACACUAACUGGAGGACCGAACCGACUAAUGUUGAAAAAUUAGCGGAUGACUUGUGGCUGGGGGUGAAAGGCCAAUCAAACCGGGAGAUAGCUGGUUCUCCCCGAAAGCUAUUUAGGUAGCGCCUCGUGAACUCAUCUUCGGGGGUAGAGCACUGUUUCGGCUAGGGGGUCAUCCCGACUUACCAACCCGAUGCAAACUACGAAUACCGAAGAAUGUUAUCACGGGAGACACACGGCGGGUGCUAACGUCCGUCGUGAAGAGGGAAACAACCCAGACCGCCAGCUAAGGUCCCAAAGUCAUGGUUAAGUGGGAAACGAUGUGGGAAGGCACAGACAGCCAGGAUGUUGGCUUAGAAGCAGCCAUCAUUUAAAGAAAGCGUAAUAGCUCACUGGUCGAGUCGGCCUGCGCGGAAGAUGUAACGGGGCUAAACCAUGCACCGAAGCUGCGGCAGCGACACUAUGUGUUGUUGGGUAGGGGAGCGUUCUGUAAGCCGUUGAAGGUGGCCUGUGAGGGUUGCUGGAGGUAUCAGAAGUGCGAAUGCUGACAUAAGUAACGAUAAAGCGGGUGAAAAGCCCGCUCGCCGGAAGACCAAGGGUUCCUGUCCAACGUUAAUCGGGGCAGGGUGAGUCGACCCCUAAGGCGAGGCCGAAAGGCGUAGUCGAUGGGAAACAGGUUAAUAUUCCUGUACUCGGUGUUACUGCGAAGGGGGGACGGAGAAGGCUAUGUUAGCCGGGCGACGGUUGUCCCGGUUUAAGCAUGUAGGGGAAGUUUAGGUAAAUCCGGACUUUUUAACGCUGAGGUGUGAUGACGAGGCACUACGGUGCUGAAGUAACAAAUGCCCUGCUUCCAGGAAAAGCCUCUAAGCAUCAGGUAACAACGAAUCGUACCCCAAACCGACACAGGUGGUCAGGUAGAGAAUACCAAGGCGCUUGAGAGAACUCGGGUGAAGGAACUAGGCAAAAUGGUGCCGUAACUUCGGGAGAAGGCACGCUGAUGGUAGGUGAAGCGACUUGCUCGUGGAGCUGAAAUCAGUCGAAGAUACCAGCUGGCUGCAACUGUUUAUUAAAAACACAGCACUGUGCAAACACGAAAGUGGACGUAUACGGUGUGACGCCUGCCCGGUGCCGGAAGGUUAAUUGAUGGGGUUAUCCGUAAGGAGAAGCUCUUGAUCGAAGCCCCGGUAAACGGCGGCCGUAACUAUAACGGUCCUAAGGUAGCGAAAUUCCUUGUCGGGUAAGUUCCGACCUGCACGAAUGGCGUAAUGAUGGCCAGGCUGUCUCCACCCGAGACUCAGUGAAAUUGAACUCGCUGGAAGAUGCAGUGUACCCGCGGCAAGACGGAAAGACCCCGUGAACCUUUACUAUAGCUUGACACUGAACAUUGAGCCUUGAUGUGUAGGAUAGGUGGGAGGCUUUGAAGUGUGGACGCCAGUCUGCAUGGAGCCAACCUUGAAAUACCACCCUUUAAUGUUUGAUGUUCUAACGUAGACCCGUGAUCCGGGUUGCGGACAGUGUCUGGUGGGUAGUUUGACUGGGGCGGUCUCCUCCCAAAGAGUAACGGAGGAGCACGAAGGUUAGCUAAUCCUGGUCGGACAUCAGGAGGUUAGUGCAAUGGCAUAAGCUAGCUUGACUGCGAGCGUGACGGCGCGAGCAGGUGCGAAAGCAGGUCAUAGUGAUCCGGUGGUUCUGAAUGGAAGGGCCAUCGCUCAACGGAUAAAAGGUACUCCGGGGAUAACAGGCUGAUACCGCCCAAGAGUUCAUAUCGACGGCGGUGUUUGGCACCUCGAUGUCGGCUCAUCACAUCCUGGGGCUGAAGUAGGUCCCAAGGGUAUGGCUGUUCGCCAUUUAAAGUGGUACGCGAGCUGGGUUUAGAACGUCGUGAGACAGUUCGGUCCCUAUCUGCCGUGGGCGCUGGAGAAUUGAGGGGGGCUGCUCCUAGUACGAGAGGACCGGAGUGGACGCAUCACUGGUGUUCGGGUUGUCAUGCCAAUGGCAUUGCCCGGUAGCUAAAUGCGGAAAAGAUAAGUGCUGAAAGCAUCUAAGCACGAAACUUGCCCCGAGAUGAGUUCUCCCUGACUCCUUGAGAGUCCUGAAGGAACGUUGAAGACGACGACGUUGAUAGGUCGGGUGUGUAAGCGUAGCGAUACGUUGAGCUAACCGAUACUAAUGAACCGUGAGGCUUAACCUUACAACGCCGAAGCUGUU